rnacentral:rRNA from 1 species
UACGUAGGGUGCGAGCGUUGUCCGGAAUUACUGGGCGUAAAGAGCUCGUAGGUGGUUUGUCGCGUUGUUCGUGAAAACCGGGGGCUUAACCCUCGGCGUGCGGGCGAUACGGGCAGACUGGAGUACUGCAGGGGAGACUGGAAUUCCUGGUGUAGCGGUGGAAUGCGCAGAUAUCAGGAGGAACACCGGUGGCGAAGGCGGGUCUCUGGGCAGUAACUGACGCUGAGGAGCGAAAGCGUGGGGAGCGAAC